GCAGNGACCGUUGUUCNGAAUUACUGGGCGUAAAGGGUGUGUAGGCGGUUCUUUAAGUUUGGUGUGAAAUCUCCCGGCUCAACCGGGAGGGUGCGCCGAAUACUGAGGGACUCGAGUGCGGGAGAGGAAAGUGGAAUUCCUGGUGUAGCGGUGAAAUGCGUAGAUAUCAGGAGGAACACCGGUGGUGUAGACGGCUUUCUGGACCGUAACUGACGCUGAAACACGAAAGCGUGGGUAGCAAACAGGAUUAGAUACCCUGGUAGUCCACGCCCUAAACGAUGCAUAUUUGGUGUGGGUCAUUCAGUUGAUCCGUGCCGGAGCUAACGCGUUAAAUAUGCCGCCUGGGGAGUACAGUCGCAAGGCUGAAACUCAAANGAAUUGACGGGGGCCCGCACAANCGGUGGAGCAUGUGGUUCAAUUCGACGCAACGCGAAGAACCUUACCUGGGCUCGAACGGCUGGUCAACCGAAGUGGAAACAUCUUUACCCCGCAAGGGGGUCCAGUCCAAGUGCUGCAUGGCUGUCGUCAGCUCGUGUCCUGAGAUU
rnacentral:rRNA from 1 species